rnacentral:rRNA from 1 species
CCUACGGGGGGCAGCAGUGGGGAAUAUUGCACAAUGGAGGGAACUCUGAUGCAGCGACGCCGCGUGAGUGAAGAAGUAAUUCGUUAUGUAAAGCUCUAUCAGCAGGGAAGAAAGUGACGGUACCUGAAAAAGAAGCUCCGGCUAAAUACGUGCCAGCAGCCGCGGUAAUACGUAUGGAGCAAGCGUUAUCCGGAUUUACUGGGUGUAAAGGGAGAGUAGGUGGCAGAGCAAGUCCGAAGUGAAAACCCAAAGCUCAACUAUGGGAAUGCUUUAGAAACUGCUCAGCUAGAGUGCAGGAGAGGCAAGUGGAAUUCUUAGUGUAGCGGUGAAAUGCAUAGAUAUCACGCAGAACUCCGAUUGCGAAGGCAGCAUACCGGCGCUCAACUGACGCUCAUGCACGAAAGUGUGGGUAUCGAACAGGAUUAGAUACCCCGGUAGUC